CAAUAGCGUAUAUUAAGGUUGUUGCAGUUAAAAAGCUCGUAGUUGAAACUUGGGCCUGGCUGGCGGGUCCGCCUCACCGCGUGCACUCGUCCGGCCGGGCCUUCCUUCUGAAGAACCUCAUGCCCUUCACUGGGCGUGCUGGGGAAUCAGGACUUUUACUUUGAAAAAAUUAGAGUGUUCAAAGCAGGCCUUUGCUCGAAUACGUUAGCAUGGAAUAAUAAAAUAGGGCGUGCGUUUCUAUUUUGUUGGUUUCUAGAGACGCCGCAAUGAUUAACAGGAACAGUCGGGGGCAUCAGUAUUCAGUUGUCAGAGGUGAAAUUCUUGGAUUUACUGAAGACUAACUACUGCGAAAGCAUUUGCCAAGGAUGUUUNCAUUA
rnacentral:rRNA from 1 species